rnacentral:rRNA from 1 species
AUUGAACGCUGGCGGCAUGCCUAACACAUGCAAGUCGAACGAGUGGCGGACGGGUGAGUAAUGUCUGGGAAACUGCCUGAUGGAGGGGGAUAACUACUGGAAACGGUAGCUAAUACCGCAUACCCUCGGAUGUGCCCAGGUGGGAUUAGCUAGGUGGGGGGGUAACGGCUCACCUAGGCGACGAUCACUAGCUGGUCUGAGAGGAUAACCAGCCACACUGGAACUGAAACACGGUCCAGACUCCUACGGGAGGCAGAAGUGGGGAAUAUUUGACAAUGGGCGCAAGCCAGAUGCAGCCAUGCCGCGUGGAUGAAGAAGGCCUUCGGGUUGUAAAGUGCUUUCAGCGGGGAGGCGUUACCCGCAGAAGAAGCACCGGCUAACUCCGUGCCAGCAGCCGCGGUAAUUC